CGUGUAGGCGGGUAGAUAAGUCGGGCGUGAAAUCCCUAGGCUCAACCUAGGAACUGCACUCGAAACUGUUUAUCUUGAGUGCCGGAGAGGAAAGCGGAAUUCCUGGUGUAGAGGUGAAAUUCGUAGAUAUCAGGAGGAACACCAGUGGCGAAGGCGGCUUUCUGGACGGUAACUGACGCUGAGACGCGAAAGCGUGGGGAGCAAACA
rnacentral:rRNA from 1 species